AAUGAACGUUGGCGGCGUGGAUUAGGCAUGCAAGUCGCGCGACAAGGAACCUUCGGGUUCUGGAGGAGCGGCAAACGGGGUAGUAAGGCAUCGGAACGUACCCUCUUGUUGGGAAUAGCCGCGGGAAACUGCGAGUAAUGCCCAAUAAUCCCUACGGGGCAAAGGUCCGCCGCAGGAGGAGCGGCCGAUGUGAUACCAGCUAGUUGGUGAGGUAAUGGCUCACCAAGGCUUAGACGUCUAGGGGGGUGUGAGAGCAUGGCCCCCACACUGGGACUGAGAUACUGCCCAGACACCUACGGGUGGCUGCAGUCGAGAAUCUUCGGCAAUGGGCGCAAGCCUGACCGAGCAACGCCGCGUGCGGGAUGAAGG
rnacentral:rRNA from 1 species